AAAAUAUCGAUUAAGCUGCCAUUACAUGAGGCGAUUUUUUGACAGGCAAUAAUCGCCUGCAAAAGUUGACUUGCUGCCUACUUUGAGGCAACCGAUUUUUGAAUCACCAUUUAC